CUCUGUUUCCACAGGAUUCAGGGCAGAAGGAG
rnacentral:ncRNA from 1 species